rnacentral:lncRNA from 1 species
UGUACCUACUAGCAAUAGUAAGAACGCCACCGGGAUUAAGGUGCCCUGGGAGUAUUGACAAACACACGCUACUCUACACCUUUUCAUGGUUCUUUUCAUUGGUCGUGCAAUGCUUUGGAAGCGUCAGCUUCCGCGACCGCCAAAUUUAGUUCAGAAAUGAAAUAGCCAUAACUUUUGUUAUUUCAUUAUAUUCUUUAAUAUGCUCACGUAUGCUAGAUCUUGGUAAGGUGUGCAUUUACUCAUGGCACCUUGUUGUAAGAGAGCAGAAAGACUGAAAGAAAUAUUCUUACUGCAGGUGACGGCAAACUACAUUGAUGCUUGGAACUUGUCGAUGAGCAUUGAUAACCUCGCACAAGCGGCUCAGGGGUUUGCCGCCGAACCUCUAGCUGGUCAUACCGCUCGCUCUGUAAACACAGAACACGAAAACAUGCAACUGCGGCUGCAUCUGCAAGAGCGGCAAGAAAUCUGUCGAUUGGGGCACCUUCAUAGAGGGACAGUGGUGACUGUGACCGCAACAGGACUCACGGAGGACCUUUCUCGAAGGCUCGCAUAUUUCGCGAUUCGACGACUCUAAAUAAAACGUUCAUCCGCU